GAUGAAGAACGUAGCGAAACGCGAUAUGUAAUGUGAAUUGCAGAAUUCAGUGAAUCAUCGAAUCUUUGAACGCACAUGGCGCCUUCCAGUAUCCUGGGAGGCAUGCCUGUCCGAGCGUCGUUUCAACCCUCGAGCCCCCGUGGCCCGGCGUUGGGGAUCUGCCCAGGCAGUCCCCGAAAACCAGUGGCGGACCCGUUACAGGCCCUUCCCUUGCGUAGUAGCAUUCGCCUCGCAUCGGGAGCCGGCGGGCUUCCAGCCUCUAAACCCCCAUCAAGUCCGCCCCGGAGGCACCAAGGUUGACCUCGGAUCAGGUAGGAAUACCCGCUGAACUUAAGCAUAUCAAUAAGCGGAGGA
rnacentral:misc_RNA from 1 species